rnacentral:rRNA from 1 species
GCUCAGUAACACGUGGAUAAUCUAACCUUGAGUAAGGGAUAACUUCGGGAAACUGAAGGUAAUACCUUAUAAUUGCUUAAAACUGGAAUGUUUUUGCAAUAAAAGUUACGACGCUCAAGGAUGAGUCUGCGACCUAUCAGGUAGUAGGUGGUGUAAUGGACCACCUAGCCUCAGACGGGUACGGGCCCUGGGAGGGGUAGCCCGGAGAUGGACUCUGAGACAUAAGUCCAGGCCCUACGGGGCGCAGCAGGCGCGAACACUGUGCAAUGCGCGAAAGCGCGACACGGGGAGCUUGAGUGUCUUGGCAUAGCCAAGACUUUUCUCAUUCCUAAAAAGCAUGAGGAAUAAGUGCUGGGUAAGACGGGUGCCAGCCGCCGCGGUAACACCCGCAGCACGAGUAGUGGUCACUUUUAUUGAGCCUAAAGCGUUCGUAGCCGGUUUUGUAAAUCUUCAGAUAAAGCCUGAAGCUUAACUCCAGAAAGUCUGAAGAGACUGCAAGACUUGAGAUCGGGUGAGGUUAAACGUACUUUCAGGGUAGGGGUAAAAUCCUGUAAUCCCGGAAGGAC